rnacentral:rRNA from 1 species
GAUGAACGCUGGCGGCGUGCCUAAUACAUGCAAGUCGAGCGAACGGACGAGAAGCUUGCGUCUCUGAUGUUAGCGGCGGACGGGUGAGUAACACGUGGAUAACCUACCUAUAAGACUGGGAUAACUUCGGGAAACCGGAGCUAAUACCGAAUAAUAUUUUGAACCGCAAGGUUCAAAAGUGAAAGACGGUCGUGCUGUCACUAAUAGAUGGAUCCGCGCUGCAUUAGCUAGUUGGUAAGGUAAUGGCUUACCAAGGCAACGAUGGAUAGCCGCCCUGAGAGCGUGAUCGGCCACACUGGCACUGAGACACGGCCCCGACUCCGACGCUGGGCAGCAGUAGGGAAUCUUCCGCAAUGGGCGAAAGCCUGACGGAGCAACGCCGCGUGAGUGAUGAAGGUCUUCGGAUCGUAAAGCUCUGUUAUUAGGGAAGAACAUAUGUGUAAGUAACUGUGCACAUCUUGACGGUACCUAGUCAGAAAGCCCCGGCUAACUACGUG